CAUUUUCACCUUUGAUUUGCCAGGAACUUCACUUGGCUGUAUGGAAAUGUAAACCUUUGUAUGAAGGAGCAUAUCAGUGCGUCAGAACUUGGCACCCACAUGGAUCUUAAGAAAACAGGCUAUUUGUUCCCUGGAGAAACUAUUCUCUAAUCCAAAAGUAAAUGAGAAACUUAGAAAAAGAUUGCCAACUCCAAAUCAACAUAUUUAGAGAAAAUUGGAAAAGGAGAAGCUUACUACAGCUUUAUUUGAGGACUUUUUAAAGAACGCAGGGUUCUGUGAGCUGCAAAUCUUGGAGCAAAAACCAGAGACAUUGCCAGAGCAAACAAGAACAGAAAUACAAAUGGAGAACUGGUCAAAAGACAUAACCCACAGUUAUCUUGAACAAGAAACUACAGGGAUAAAUAAAAGUACACAGCCAGAUGAGCAACUGACUAUGAAUUCUGAGAAAAGUAUGCAUCGGAAAUCCACUGAAUUAGUUAAUGAAAUAACAUAUGAGAACACAGAAUGGCCAGGGCAGAGAUCAACGAAUUUUCAGAUCAUCAGUUCUUAUCCAGAUAAUGAGUCUGUUUACUGCACUACUGAAAAAUACAA
rnacentral:sRNA from 1 species